GGUCUUUUUUUUUUCUACCAAGAAAAGUGCACUUGUUAUUAGUGAGAAUGUACUUAUUUGAAGGUAUUUUUGGGUUCAUUGAAGUUAGCUAAUUUUACUUGAUUUGGAAAGUUUUGACAAGCCGAAUUUUCUUGUUCUAUUGGGAGAUCAUUUUGUUAGUUCAAAUAAAAUACUGCUCAAUUUUGUAUUUUUUUUUCUUGUUUUUGAACACCGACUUUUUGCAAUCCACAUCGCUCAUUAGCAUUAAAGGCCUACUGAAAUGAGAUUUUCUUAUUCAAAUGGGGAUAGCAGGUCCAUUCUUUGUGUCAUACUUGAUCAUUUCGCAAUAUUGCCAUAUUUUUGCUGAAAGAAUUUAGUAGAGAACAGCGACGAUAAAGUUUGCAACUUUUGGUCGCUAAUAAAAAAGCCUUCCCUGUACCGGAAGUAGCAGACGAUGUGCGCGUGACAUCACGGGUUGUGAAGCUCCUCACAUCCUCACAUUGUUUACAAUCAUGGCCACCAGCAGCGAGAGCGAUUCGGACUGAGAAAGCGACAAUUUUCCCAUUAAUUUGAGCGAGGAUGAAAAAUUCGUGGAUGAGGAAAGUGAGAGUGAAGGACUAGGAAAAAAUUAAAAAUAAUAAAAAAAACUAUAAGACAGAGCGAUUCUAAGGUUAUUAGACACAUUUAAUAGGAUAAUUCUGGAAAAUCCCUUAUCUGCUUAUUGUGUUACUAGUGUUUUAGUGAGAUUAUAUGGUCGUACCUCUACAACCUGAAAGUCGGAGGGGUGUGGCCAUGGGUGUGGUGACCGCCAGUGUCUCAGAGGGAAGCCACGUUUCUCAACAAGGCCAAAGCAGCCGUUGGGGCUGGGCUGAGGAGGCAAGAGAGUCGCAGCUGCCUCUUUGGCAGGGGCAGGAGGAACGACGCAAGCUCUCCGCUCAAGUCUACGGUAAGAGCCGAUUUACUACCACCAUUUUCUCACCGAAACCUGCCGGUUGACAUGUGGUAGGGAACCAUAUUCGCUUGACCGCUCUGUUCCAUAGUAAAGCUUCACCGUCAUCUUUUGGGAAUGUAUACAAGGAAACACCGACUGUGUUUGUGUUGCUAAAGGCGGCCGCAAUACACCACUUCCCACCUACAUCUUUCUUCUUUGACGUCUCUGUUAUUAAUUGAACAAAUUGCAAAAGAUUCAGCAACACAGAUGUCCAUAAUACUUUGGAAUUAUGCAAUGAAAAGAGACAAUUUAUAACUGUGAACGGUGCUGGGCCAAAAUGUCCUCUACAAUGCGUGACGUCACGCGCACGCCUCAUCAUACCGCGACGUUUUAGCAUGAUACUUCUGCGCGAAAUUUAAAAUUGCAAUUUAGUGAACUAAACCGGCCGUAUUGGCAUGUGUUGCAAUGUUAAGAUUUCAUCAUUGAUUGAUAAACUAUCAGACUGCAUGGUCGGUAGUAGUGGGUUUCAGUAGGCCUUUAAAGCUACCGACACACACAAUGGUGUGUUUACAGUAGGGGUUUACGAGAAGCACUUUUAAACUGUCUAAAAUCAAUCAUCAAUGCUAGAUUUUGGCUAAAACACUUCUAAUCCACUAUUGUGGGAUCGACUUCAAAUAGAAGAAAAAUAGUAUAAAGAUGCUACCUUUUAUAAUAAGCAAGUUCUUCCUGCAUGAGGAACACUUGAGACUUCAGUUCAUUUCUUUCCUGCAGGACAUCACGAAGCUCCUGCGAGGUGAAGCGAGGAGCAUCGGACUCCUGCUCCAGGAUGUCUGUCUCCUCUCUGGCCUCCUCCUGCACACAUGCACACAAACCAUCUUUCUUUAGUGGUGUAAUAAGCAGCUUGGCGCACAAAUGACUCACCAGCAUUGCAUUUCUGCCGAUACCGCCUGCUGACUGCCAAAGCCAAACUUUGUGUUCUGGGACCAGCACAAGAACAGACUGGGCGAUAGCACCAAGUGUCAACAUAUUUGCAAUUUUGUAUUAUCAUAUCUUGUCGAGUCCACUCCCCCCUUUUCCCUUAGUCACAAUGAUGUAAUAGCGAUUUCCUUAAUAAAUACAGGAGGCACGCGGGCUGUGCUUUAGAACGUUGUUUUUGAUCUGUAACUUGAGUACAGCCCAAAACACGUGUCUCCUCAUGAGCUCUA